CACAAACGACUCUCGGCAACGGAUAUCUCGGCUCUCGCAUCGAUGAAGAACGUAGCGAAAUGCGAUACUUGGUGUGAAUUGCAGAAUCCCGUGAACCAUCGAGUCUUUGAACGCAAGUUGCGCCCAAAGCCAUUAGGCCAAGGGCACGCCUGCCUGGGCGUCACGCA
rnacentral:rRNA from 1 species